GGGUUGUAAACCUCUUUUCUCAGGGAAGAAUAAUGACGGUACCUGAGGAAUAAGUCUCGGCUAACUACGUGCCAGCAGCCGCGGUAAUACGUAGGAGGCGAGCGUUAUCCGGAUUUAUUGGGCGUAAAGUGGGCGUAGGUGGUCUUUCAAGUCAGAUGUGAAAUCUCCCGGCUCAACUGGGAGGGGUCAUCUGAUACUGUUGGACUUGAGUACAGCAGGGGAAAAUGGAAUUCCCGGUGUAGUGGUGAAAUGCGUAGAUAUCGGGAGGAACACCAGAGGCGAAGGCGAUUUUCCAGGCUGAAACUGACACUGAGGCCCGAAAGCGUGGGGAGCGAACAGAAUUAGAUACUCUGGUAGUCCACGCCUUAAACUAUGGACACUAGGUAUAGGGAGUAUCGACCCUCUCUGUGCCGAAGCUAAC
rnacentral:rRNA from 1 species